UCCCUGGAGGACUAGUGUUUAGGCCACAGCACUCUCCCCGCUGAGGUCUCGGUUCGAUUCCUGGCCAGGGAA